AUGCAAAUCACCUGGGAUCUCAUUAAAAUACAGAAUCAGAUUCAAGGGAUCUGGGAUGGGUGCUGGGAUUCUGCCAUUCUAACGAGCUCCCAAGGGAUUCUAAU
rnacentral:pre_miRNA from 1 species